rnacentral:lncRNA from 1 species
AUUCUCAACAAAAUUUAGAGAGCUGGUUUCAAGAAGCGUCAAAUUCUCCACGGCAUUACAAAAUCAAGUAAUUUGACAAUUUCAUCAUUCAGUGAGAGAGAAUGAGUAUUCGUGGUGAUUGAAACCCACCAAAUGAGUGACCUCGUCAUCAGCGGCAAAAGGCGGACAGCGAUGUAGUACAUGAUUAAUCUCCUCUUGCACAAAGCGAGAAAACCAACAAGAGGUGGAAAUGAUUGUGCCAUAGAUAUUGAAAAAUAUUCGUCCACAUAUUCCACUCCAUCCGUCCCAAAUUACCUGACAAGUCUCUACUAACUUUAAAGUAAAGUUAGUACAAAAUUGAGUCAUUUN